AUUGAACGCUGGCGGCAGGCCUAACACAUGCAAGUCGAGCGGAUGACGGGAGCUUGCUCCUUGAUUCAGCGGCGGACGGGUGAGUAAUGCCUAGGAAUCUGCCUGGUAGUGGGAGAUAACGUUUCGAAAGGAACGCUAAUACCGCAUACGUCCUACGGGAGAAAGCAGGGGACCUUCGGGCCUUGCGCUAUCAGAUGAGCCUAGGUCGGAUUAGCUAGUUGGUGGGGUAAUGGCUCACCAAGGCGACGAUCCGUAACUGGUCUGAGAGGAUGAUCAGUCACACUGGAACUGAGACACGGUCCAGACUCCUACGGGAGGCAGCAGUGGGGAAUAUUGGACAAUGGGCGAAAGCCUGAUCCAGCCAUGCCGCGUGUGUGAAGAAGGUCUUCGGAUUGUAAAGCACUUUAAGUUGGGAGGAAGGGCAGUAAGUUAAUACCUUGCUGUUUUGACGUUACCGACAGAAUAAGCACCGGCUAACUCUGUGCCAGCAGCCGCAGUAA
rnacentral:rRNA from 1 species